rfam:Myotis davidii contig49751, whole genome shotgun sequence.
GGAUGACUGAUUGUACCCGCCAGCUGGCUAAUAUCAUAAUUAACAAAGUUGCUACUACGUUGGCAAAGUUUAAUCGAAAAAUUUGCCAGUGAUAUGAUGGCAUUGUCACAAAGAUCACAAGGGACACGGAGCCCACUUCUGCUCAAGGUGGAACGGCAAAGGUGUGUAUGCAAGCGGAGAAAUCGCAAACUUGUUCAGCCAAA